AGAGUUUGAUCCUGGCUCAGGAUGAACGCUGGCGGUAUGCCUAACACAUGCAAGUCGAACGAAGUUCCUUCGGGGACUUAGUGGCGGACGGGUGAGUAACACGUGAGAACCUGCCUUCAGAAUGGGGACAACAGUUGGAAACGACUGCUAAUACCCAAUGUGCCGAAAGGUGAAAGAUUUAUCGUCUGAAGAUGGGCUCGCGUCUGAUUAGCUAGAUGGUGGGGUAAAAGCCUACCAUGGCGACGAUCAGUAGCUGGUCUGAGAGGAUGAGCAGCCACACUGGGACUGAGACACGGCCCAGACUCCUACGGGAGGCAGCAGUGGGGAAUUUUCCGCAAUGGGCGCAAGCCUGACGGAGCAAUACCGCGUGAGGGAGGAAGGUCCUUGGAUUGUAAACCUCUUUUAUCAGGGAAGAAAAAAAUGACGGUACCUGAUGAAUAAGCAUCGGCUAACUCCGUGCCAGCAGCCGCGGUAAUACGGAGGAUGCGAGCGUUAUCCGGAAUUAUUGGGCGUAAAGCGUCCGUAGGUGGUCAUGCAAGUCUGCCGUUAAAGAAUGGAGCUUAACUCCAUAGGAGCGGUGGAAACUGCAAGACUAGAGUACAGUAGGGGUAGCAGGAAUUCCCAGUGUAGCGGUGAAAUGCGUAGAUAUUGGGAAGAACAUCGGUGGCGAAAGCGUGCUACUGGGCUGAAACUGACACUGAGGGACGAAAGCUAGGGUAGCGAAAGGGAUUAGAUACCCCUGUAGUCCUAGCCGUAAACGAUGGAUACUAGGCGUGGCUUGUAUCGACCCGAGCCGUGCCGAAGCUAACGCGUUAAGUAUCCCGCCUGGGGAGUACGCACGCAAGUGUGAAACUCAAAGGAAUUGACGGGGGCCCGCACAAGCGGUGGAGUAUGUGGUUUAAUUCGAUGCAACGCGAAGAACCUUACCAAGGCUUGACAUCCCUGGAAUCUUGCAGAAAUGUGAGAGUGCCUUAGGGAGCCAGGAGACAGGUGGUGCAUGGCUGUCGUCAGCUCGUGUCGUGAGAUGUUGGGUUAAGUCCCGCAACGAGCGCAACCCUCGUUUUUAGUUGCCAUCAUUAAGUUGGGCACUCUAGAGAGACUGCCGGUGACAAACCGGAGGAAGGUGGGGAUGACGUCAAGUCAUCAUGCCCCUUACGCCUUGGGCUACACACGUACUACAAUGGUCGGGACAACGGGCAGCUAAACCGCGAGGUCAAGCGAAUCCCAUCAAACCCGGCCUCAGUUCAGAUUGCAGGCUGCAACUCGCCUGCAUGAAGGAGGAAUCGCUAGUAAUCGCAGGUCAGAAUACUGCGGUGAAUUCGUUCCCGGGCCUUGUACACACCGCCCGUCACACCAUGGGAGCUGGUCACGCCCGAAGUCGUUACUCUAACCGUUCGCGGAGGAGGGCGCCGAAGGCAGGGCUAGUGACUGGGGUGAAGUCGUAACAAGGUAGCCGUACCGGAAGGUGUGGCUGGAUCACCUCCUUUAAGGGAGACCUUUACCCCUUCAUACCAAAAGCAAAGUGCAAAUAGGUAAGAAGUUGGUCAACCAAAAGGUCGAGCAAGGGAUUAGCCAUAAGGUUAAAGAGUAGAAGUCUUUCAAACUAUUGCCUAGGCAAGGAAAGGGCAAGGGCUAUUAGCUCAGCUGGUUAGAGCGCACCCCUGAUAAGGGUGAGGUCUCUGGUUCGAGUCCAGAAUGGCCCACCUAACCAUCAAGCCAUGUGUUUCUUGAACAUUUGUAAAAGGAACGAUUCAGCAUCCUGUCUGAAAUUAGUCAGAGGGAAUGCUGGAUGAGAAUCCAGUAAGAACCUUGAAAACUGCAUAAAGAAAAGAGAAAGCAGGGAAAAUCUGAAUUCCUCUUCAUCUAUAUAGUUGAUUAUGAAGCCAAUGGCUGACUGAAAAACUAGAAGGUGAGUAAAAGAGGGAUAACGAUAAUCCUAGUUAGCAAGAAAAAGAUCUUAAAAAGGUCAAGCUACAAAGGGCUAACGGUGGAUACCUAGGCACACAGAGGCGAAG
rnacentral:rRNA from 1 species